AAGGUAGCAUCGUGCUUCUUCUUCCAGCCGUGAUUCACAAACCGACGUACACUCUAAUCUGUUUGUACGAUCUUUGUCGUUUAGGCUCGAUCGCCGUUGCCGCUAUUUUGUUGUGUUGGAAGUAACGUUGAGUUCCUUGAAUUCACAACCAACUUGUAAUUUGUUGGAGUUCAGUUCGCUAAUACCUUGGUGUCUUUCAUUGGAUAUAGUUUGUUCGAGAAAUUGAGUUACCUUAAGGCAAAGGAAAUAAAGGUGGCAAACCGGCGAGGGGCAGGAAGGAAG